CACCUCAGGGGGUGCUGUAGUUCUUUUCUCUGCCUUUCUCUGUUUCACUGUCAGAGUGAAUGAAUGUGUACGACUAGCCGGCUAGUUGCCUUAGCAAUGUGGUCGCUCUCAUAAUGAUAUCGCAGAGGGACAGUGGAGAACUGGCUCGGUUUUAUACUGUCACGGAUCCCAAGAAGCACCAAAAAGGUUAUACUGUGUACAAAGUCACUGCCAGGAUAAUCUCUAGGAAGAACCCAGAGGAUGUUCAAGAGAUAACGGUGUGGAAGAGAUACAGUGAUUUCCGGAAACUACAUCAGAAUCUCUGGCAGUUGCACAAGAAUGUUUGUAGCCAGUCAGAGCUUUUUCCUCCGUUUGCCAAGGCCAAAGUUUUUGGUCGUUUUGAUGACUCGGUGAUUGAAGAAAGAAGGCAGUGCUCUGAGGAUCUACUACAGUUUUCUGCAAACAUCCCCGCUCUUUAUAGUAGUCAGCACAUCCAGGAUUUCUUCAAGGGGGGUGAGGUCCACGACAGCUCGGAGCUGAUUGGACCAGCUGAGCCCUUUUCAGAUUUCCUGGCAGAUAGUUUUUCAGACUGUAGUUCUGAUGUUCAAAAAGACAUCAGUGGUGCAGAAGAUUUGACAGUUCCUUCCGAGUAUGGAGGCCCAUCCAGUGGCAGCGCCCUGACCUCUCUUGCUGUGGAUACAGACUCAUUGGCUGGGGUGGAUGAUGGCAUGGCCUCGGGCGGCACCUCCCCAAACCAGCCACAGGGGGGCGCUUACAACCUUAGUAGCAGCUGCAGCCCUCGCCUGCCAACCUUGCGCUUACAUCGCUGCCCAUCUCCUUCCACAGCCCCUGCCUCCUCAGCCCCUAACCCAGAGGUCACUUGGCCGAGCCGCACGCCACUCCUGUCUGGCUCUUUGAGAAAAACAAGUAGUGGAAAACCAAAGGAAGUAAAGUCAGACUAUCUUGAUAAGGCCACCAACCUCAUCUGUGUGGCUGUGGAGAAGGAAAAAGAGCAGGACUACCAGGCAGCGUUUUCCUACUAUCGCAGCGGAGUAGACUUGCUGCUGCAAGGAGUGCAAGGUGAGCCCAGUCCCACUCGACGUGAAGCAGUGAAGAAGAAAACUGCAGAGUAUUUGAUGCGAGCAGAACAAAUAUCCACCCACUACCUGAAGGGCAACAUGGGCCAAGGAUCAACGCAGACCAUAGCUUUGGGGGCUCAGUGCUGCCCUCCCACCACCAGAGCAGGUCAGCAGGGUCCAUAUGAGGAGCUGGGAGCCUACAGGGUGUUGGGCGUCAUAAACAAGGUACUACUGGUCAUGGACAAGCGAACAGAAGAGACCUUCAUCCUGAAGGGUCUGAGGAAGAGCAGUGAUUGUGGGCUUGUUAAGAGAAGGAUCAUGCCUCACUGCGUGCCCUACAUGGUACAGCUGAGGAAGUUCAUUGUUACUGAAGACUCAGUUUUCCUUCUGCUUCAGUAUGCUGAAGGUGGGAAACUGUGGUCUCACAUUGAGAAGUAUCUUCACAAUUCAAGCCCAGAGGAGAGCUUUGACAUUCCUUUCAUCCAGAAGAGCCAUACAGCAGCAGUUCAUUCAACUCAUCGUGCUGUACAACAGCUGGAUAUGGAUAUGGACUCUGCCAGUUCUGGUUCAGGCCCUGUUCCCGGUUCUGACUCCCUGUCAGAGCAGCACAAAGAACAAGAAGACCAGAAUAUAAGCACUUCUUGUCUUAAAAAUAUUCUUCCUGCCAGACCUGUCCAAAAACCUGGUCCUCACUCUGACUCUGGAGCCAAGUCUGAGGAGGAGUGCACUGACAGUUAUUUAACUCUUUGUAAUGAAUAUGAACAGGAGAAAGUAGAAUCAGAUGCUCUAGAGGAGGAAGAGGAGAAGAGCGAACAGGAAAUGCUGUCAGUAGAAGUGCCCACAGCCAGGACCACCACUUCCUCACGCAGCCGCUCGCUGCUGAGCAACGACAGCCUCUCUUCACCGCUCGGCUCUCAGGAACUCGGCUUCUUUACCGAGUCUUCCGACAAAAGUGGACUCAUGACCCAUGACCAUGGUGAGGGUCUGGACAACUGUGAAGUUUUCAGUCCCCUGCCUUCUCCUGCUGUGCCGCUGUCUCUGGAUCAGUCCAAGCACACACCCAUGGAGUUUUUCCGAAUUGACAGCAAAGACAGUGCGAGUGAGGUGACCUGCCUGGACUUUGGAGAGCAGCGCCCACUCCCAGUUUUUUCUACAUCUGAUCUGGGCUCAGACAUUAACGAGGAAUUUUCAGAACUGGCCCAGGAGGUCAAGGGUCACAGCUCGGAGCUGUGGUGGUUGGACUGUAGUGAUAAUGAAUCAGUGCCAGUCAUCUCAUUUCAAGAAGCAGCUAUUGAGGAUGAGGGUCAGCCGCCUGAUCUUUUAGUCAACCUCCCUGCAGUGAGUGGAACUGUUGAUUCUUUACAGGAGGAACUGACAACAUCAGGAGUGUGUCUGGGCCUGGAGGCUACAGCUUCCCCUCACAAGUUCAUCCAGCCUGAUGUUUUACAGCUUCACAGCCAACCUGAGGAUGCAGCGGAACAGACACGUUCAUCUCUAUGCCCUGUCUCUGCAACCUGUGACACAGGAAUUGUAUUUUCAACUCCUGUAAACCUCCAAUGGAAUGACUGCAACCUGUCAAUUGGAGUUGAAGCGUCUGACAGAACGGCAGCUGAUCUGAAAUGCCAUGACAAAGUCCUUUCCCUGGAUCCAAAAUAUCCACAAACUGACUUGCAAAGUGGGAAACUUGAGGCUGGCACUGAAGUUAACACUGAGUCCACUGCAGAUUCUAUCACGGUCACAAAUGAGACAGAUGACCGUGCUGUGGUAGAAGGCUUAUUAGCCAGUAAUAGUGAAUUAUCAGGAGUGGUUAGUAAUAAGACUGUCACAGACUUUGAUAAAGAAGUAUCACGGCUCUUCGCAGAGCUGGACCAACUGUCGUUGGCUGCGUCCCAAGCUCGUAUCCCAGAGGAGUUUGUCCGGUGCUGGGCUGUGGAGCUGGUGACAGCACUGGACUCACUGCAUCAAGAAGGCAUCAUCUGCCGAGACCUGAACCCCAACAACAUCCUGCUCAAUCACCAAGGUCACAUACAGAUGACCUACUUUUGUAGCUGGAGUGACGUGGAGGAGUCGUGUGACAAAGACGCCAUGUCAAAUAUGUACUGUGCACCAGAGGUAGGAGGAAUCGGUGAGGAGACUGCAGCGUGCGAUUGGUGGAGUUUGGGCGCCAUCCUCUUUGAGCUCCUGACAGGCAUGUCUCUGCUCCAUUGCCAUCCAGCAGGCAUCAGUCGCCACACCGCCCUCAACAUCCCUGAGUCAGUGUCACAGGAGGCCAGGUCUCUGCUGGAGCAGCUGCUGCAAUACAACCCAACAGAGAGACUGGGAGCAGGAGCAGGAGGAGCGGAUGACAUCAGAUCACACCCUUUCUUUGCUACAGUCAGCUGGUCUCAGUAGAAACUGUGGAUUGUGGGACCUGAAAACAGAGAUGCAUGCUGGGAAACCAGCUAUUCCAAAAUGAACCUUUCCCCAGAGGACUUCAAAUGAUAUCGAUUAUAAUGCACAUCUUCAUUAUGCAUUUCUCUUCAUAUUGCAGUGCAUGUCAUUUAUGCCAGGUCUUUGUUUGUUGCAGGUCCAGAUUGACAUAAUGAUCCUCACCACGACGCUGACUCUCUGCUCCUCACUGCCACAGGGUCAGGAGUCCGGUCUGAUUAGUGAGGUUUGAAGACCCGUCUCUCAUUACACAGUCAAGUGGGGCGACAGGUUCACUUCAGCUCAGAGAAGAAGGCUGUCAAUCUCACUCAGCGCAGCCAGGGGGACAGAUCUGUCUGGUCAUAGACAACAUUAAGAGGACAUGCCAAGGACUCCCAUGAUGCAAUAUGGUCCUCCUGGUGCAAGUCUUCCUGGCUGUGUGACACAUUGUGUUAGCAAACACACACAACGUUGAGGUCUCAGCCAGACGACAUCUCCCUCACCCCUGGGGAAGAAAGAGAAAGAGAAGGAGGAGGUUCAGAGGAACAAAAAGAGGAGAGAAGAGAAAAUAGCUGGUCAGUGAUGAGUGGCAGAGGUCGAAAAGUUAAAUGGACUUCAUGAUGUCCUGGUGUCUGCAAUUACAGAUGGGGGAGACUGAGAGUGAGGAAAGGGGAUGGACGAGGGUGAAGGGUGAGGUGAGUGGGGCGUGGAGCGGUGUUCUUGAGGGGGAGCGUAGGAUCCUCAGAGCCCUGGCACCUUAUGGCAUGGCCUGCAGUCAGACAGAUGCUGCCGGCCAUGGCAGUCUUGAGCAGGGCACAGAUGAGCCCGGUUAGAAACAGAGGGAAGACGUGCCCUGUCUUACUGAGUGUUAAGUGUGUGUGUGGACUUGUCUGUUAAUAGAAAGGGAGCGUGAUUUGGUUGUUGAUGCAAUGCUAACAGAAUGGUACAUUUACUGUGUUUAGACCAUGGUUUUUGCCUUGAGACAAAUUUAUUUUUCAAAAAACAAUAGAAACAGCUGGAACCAGGUAUUUUAGUUAAUUCAAAUUUGUUUGGUUAGUAAAAAAAAAACAGUGGUUUUCUGUUGAACAGUGAGCAGUUGAACGGCAUGUUUCUUCUUGUGCUGCUGAUGACAGUUGUGAUAUGUAUCAUUACAAGUGUGAUGAGUGCGAAUGACAUGAAUCACGAUAAGGUCGUAAAUUUGACACGAGAGGUGGAAGAGGAACACACAGAGUUGGAUGUUGGACAAGUAUGUGGGCCGUAAAAGUUUCAGGCUUCUGCUUGAUCAGACCUCAGAUCAAAAUAGUUGAACAACCUUGAUAAGUUUUCUUUUGCAGCCACAGGUUGGCCAUAAAUCUUCACGCAGAUUUUCUCUGUUGGCAAAACACUCGUCGACUGACGAAAGAUUGUUUCUACGCCCCGUGCUUUAAGAUUGGAUUUGCCCGCUGUCAAACCACCCUGUCUCUGUUCAAGGUAGAUUAGAGGAAUAAUCACCCUGUGUAUCUUUACUUGAAAUCUAUGCUUCUGUUUUGGAAAAAUACUGACUCUAGUGGGCGGAAGCGCGAAGUAAGUGGAAGGAGAGCAGCGCCGACUCGCUCCUCAUCGUCUAUUCUCUCUCCUCUAUCUCUAUUUUUUUUCAAGUUGUAAGUGAUAAUAUCCUCCCUUUUUCUGCCUCUCAAAAGCUUGAGUGAUUUGCUAAGGCGGUGUGUGUGCGCACACAUGUGUACACGUAUGUGUGUGUGUGUGUGUGUCUCACAUUAGCCUUUUUCCAUUAAAGCAAUUUUGCCGCCCAUUGUAUUCCUGAAGAGGACCUGGGAAGUCACUAAUGGUGCCUUGCGUCCACACUUGCGUGCUCACGCGCACGUCCACGGCACACGUGCGUAAACAAACACACAGCCAUCACCUGUCGCCUGAUUGCUGUAAAACACACACAUUAGCAUAGAAUGAGACGCAUUAUCACUCCUGAUUAUGGUACGCUAAGAGGUUCCACAGAAAAAAGACCUCACACCUUUCCUCCACAAUGCCGGCUGCUAGUGAGAUAAAUGCAUGUUGCCCAACAUCUCUGUCGCUGCCGAACCGGCCUGAAGACUGUGCUGAUGGGUUUAAUGGCCUCUUGUUGUCUAUGAUCAUAACUACUCAGAUUUGUCACAUCAAUAAUGAUUCUUCUUUUCUUUUUUUUUUUAAUUCCAUCAGUGCAGUGAUCCAGCUAGCAUCACCAAAACAUGUACUUUGCAUGAUUCCAGGUAUUUUUCAAGUGCAACGGAAAGUGUCUCGCUUCUGAAUCCAAAUAAGAAGGCAGCUGACGCACAAACGCCACACAGGGUUGAAGCACAUCCGUCAGGGAGGAGGCAGCGGGGCAGGGUUCGCAGGUGGCCUCCUCUUCCCUGCCUCGAUCAGCGCAGGAAGUGUCAGUCUGGUGCCGAGGAAGCAGCAGCCACUUGUUUGAGCUGAAGGUCGCCCCCGGCCCCCUGCUUUAGGUAAUGUUUUCUUAAGUCUCAGGUCACUAAUGAGGUCCUGCCAUUUUUAAAAGCUCAUUUUAUUCAGUGUUCGAGGAGAAACAGGAGGAAGGAGGGAGGAUGCUGUCGUUGGUGGGAUUUUGUUUUACCAUUUUCUCAUGUAUUUCCUGUACUUUUCCUUUUUUCCCUACUUUUUCUUCCACAGUCUGUUCAGGUCAGAAAAGUCAUUAGUGGGUCAGACUGAGGUGGGAAAUUCCCUACAUUUAGGUUUACACACACACACACACACACACACACUGUACGGUUGCCUAAAACGCUGGCUUACAGUCCACUGCACAUUUACUGAAAUCCAACCUAAAGAAUUAUUUGUACUGUUACAGAUAAACACUAAAAAGUUCAUGUGAGCAGAACAGCAAAAAUAAAUACAGUAGAUAAUUCUUGAAGCAUUGCACAAGUAAUAGACACACUGCUGGGAUUUAGACAUUUAGCUAGAAAAACAAAUAGUCAGAAAACACAUGAUCACCCAUGCACACACACACAUGCACACACACACACACACAUGCACACAGAGAGAGGGAGUUUGUGAUAAUGACAUAAUUGUCCCAAAGCACACAGCCAUGCAAAUAGGGAAGAUGGCUUGUGUUGCCAUCCGUAGGUCUCUGCCAUCUAUUUCCAUUAUUCUAAUGCACUGCAACUGAUGACCUGCUCUCACACAAUUAACUGUCAGAGAGAGAGAGAGGGAGAGAGAGGGGACAGAGAGAGAGGGAAAAAGAGAGAGGGAGAGAGAGAGAGCCGUAUUUGGGAUUUUUGAGUUUUUCUCCACCUGAUUCCCUGGUCUGUUUAAAAACAAGUCUGAAACAUAAGUUGUUCAACAACUCUUUUCCACUUCUUAUCUUUUCACCCCUGGAAUUUGUGAACUAAGAACAGAGAUAUUUUACCACCGUGACAGCUUCCUACACUUUCUCAUUCCUGCAGUUUCCCCCUCUCCUUUUGUUUGUCCAAGAUUUUCAUUUGUUGAAAGUUGUGGAUGCCUGUGUGUACAUGUGUGUGUGUGAGAAAGAUCGGAGGAGAAUGGGCUGUUGAUUCAGGUCUGUUCCUUGGCUCUGCAGCUCAUAGUCUUGGCCCGAGUUUGAUCCAUGUGAUUGGAUCGGGGGGUUUUGAGGUGGCUGAUGGGACAGAAUUAGGCCAAGUGGCACACACUGCGCACACUCCAUGGCGUGCAGAUGGACGGAAAGUGAAAGAGCCGUGAUUUCUCAUUGUGUCCAGCCGUCUUUCGGGGUGAGUGCAAUACCCCCAGAGUGUGUCUUCAGUCCAAGAGCUCCAUUCUCCAAUCAGCGGCUGCCGCUUCCUGCGUCCAGAGACACGCCUCUCCAAGAUUUCAUCUCUGUAUCAGAGCAGAACUGGGUUGUAAGCAGCUUAGAGAAGAAUAAUGCAACGCAAGAUAUGGCUGCUCAGCCUUUGUUUGGCCACUUUAAAAGAUCCCAGCACUGUUUUCUCCCACAAAAGUUUUCUAAAAAGAUAAAUCAGCAGCAAAGCUUCUUACACAAACAAUGAAGAAAACACAUGGCUGAAGUCACGCAGCCAGCGCCUCUGCACUGCCGUCCUGCCACUGAAAGUGACCUCACGCGCCCAGGUGAUUUGAGAUGCCCACCCACCUCCAGAACGUCUGUUUACACACAUUUCACAAGCGAUUAAACAGAUAUGAAAAGGUUAAAUAACUGAGGCAGAGGCAGUUCAUACAGAUCAUAUUUAACCUCUUACCUCUGGAGCCACCCACUGUGCUCAGCCCUGCAGCUUAUCCGCAAUGGGAUUCCCACCCAGACUGUUGUGUAAGGGUUCCAUCUGACCCGCACAGCUCCGCUAUGCAUUCAUACACUGUGUGGAGUAGAUGUGGCCGUUAGUUAGGAGAUGAGUAACUACCUCCAUGAAAAAACAGGAAAUAGUUUCUGUUCUCAGAUGUUAGAAUUUCAUUUUUAGUAAUCAGUAUAAACAGUAAUGGUUAGCAAAAAUUUGAGUGGGAAAUACAUAAAAGUUAUAGUAGUUAUAGAAAAUAAAUGGGAUCUAGCGUCAACUGAUUCAGAGGCGACAUCUGAAGGGCCUCGAUUUCAGUCCUCAGAGGAUGUGAAGACCUCUGAAGGCCCAGACCUUCUUCCUGAAGAUCAAUUCAUCUCCACUUAUAAGAACUAAAUGGAAACCAGAGGAGCCCACGGCAGAUGAAAGUGCUAACAUGAUGUACCCCGUCUGGGUUGAGUGAUCUACUUAGAACAGCAACGGCAGACCCAGCCAACAGAAGCCAGAUAGAUGCCUGAGCAUCCUGGCCCCGGACCAAACUCCCCUUAAAUCUGAUACGACGGCUAAUCUCUAAUCUGGAGAUUUACUGGAUCUGUUCCCCCGUCCCUCUGUUUUCACUCCUCUCUCUCUCUCUCUCUCUCUGUUUUCACUUCUCAACAUACAAAUGGAGCAAUCUGUGAGUAUUUCACAAAUGCAUUUAUCCCAAAAUGUGUUAUUAAAGACUGUCUAAUUCCUGGCCUGCUGUCAGUUACCUCAGCCCCACCCCCCGGGUUAUUGAGCACUAACAACACACGCACGUUUCUUUUGCAGAUGGUCACAUAAUGCACAAUCAGCCAAACAAGACGGCUGAUUUUAGGGAGGAAUGCUGGACUCCCCCCUUUCCUUUGGAGGCCAUCCUUGGUGGACACUGCUCACUGGAAACUCAUUAAUGUGAGCUGCGAGCCAGCACUCGUUUUCUUUUUUUUCUUCAGUCCAGUUCCAGUCCAAAAACCUGCAGCGAGGAGGAGCUCCCCUGCUUAGAACAAUGUGGUCAGAUCACUGCAAGGCAAAACCAGUGCCAGCCAUUGACCAGAGCGUUCUUCUCAACUCUUCUGUUGAAAACAUUUCAUUUGUUUGGGACUCGGUUUCCUCCGGUGCCGACAAAGAAAUAUGAAGACGUGGUGGUGGGAAUUCUGAACUUCCAUUCAUUUCCCAGUAAAGACUGCCUACAAAGUUUUCUACCGGAGUUAUAAAAUUAUUUUUAAAAUAUAACUGAAUGUAGUUUGAGUCCAAAUGUCUGUGUUCUGACAUGUUGUUAUGACGCUGUUCUACAGGAAGUGGUCAGUUACGGCCUUCUAUCUGUGUUGACGCUCACUGACCCUCAGCUGAGGACAACAGACUGUUCACAGACACCACUGUGGCCCAGGUCAACAGAGGACAGGUCUCCCCUAAUGUGCAUCUUCCUCUCCUUCUGCUUUUCUCUUCACCGUCACUGCCAAAAAGACAAUACUUCCCUCCCUCCUCGUUCCAGCUUUCCCAUACUUAGGCCCUCGCAGCAAUUAUGCCCAAUCACGGCGCCUCAAAAGGAAGCGACCGGGGCUUGUUUGUGCCUCCACAGUCAUUAAGAGGGGGCGAAGAAAGGAAUUAAUGACUUAAUUGAGGAGCAGAGAAAAUGGGGGAAUCACACGGGCUCCGGGAGCAGGGAGGGGAAUGGGGGGGCAUGAAUGGGACGCCUGGAAUGCUCCUGAAGCAGGGGAUUGUGGGAUUGCUGAAGUGUGUCAAGAUUUUUGGUUGUUCUCCAGAGCAGAUGGCGGCUUGUCGUUCGCAUACCAUCUAUUCUCCUCUUUGUAGAACCACAACGACAGCUUUUGUUUCUCACCAUCACUUUGCAGCAAAAGUUCAUGGACCAAAAAAAAAAAAUUUUUUUUAAAAUGACACGACCAAAACUGACACACUUGUCCACAUUUUUCGAGAGGAACAGUCCCAACCCCUCUCCCACUCUCUCUCUCCCCCUCAGUGUCCCUUUCUUACUUCUUAAGUUUGACCAAACCAGAAAGGAUGCCGUGUCUGAAGAGCCGAGGUGCCAGCUCUGGCACAACUCUAUUCAUCCCUCUCUAAUGUGGCAGGUUCCCCUCACUGCCAAGCUCCAGCUCCUGCAUUGUGGACUCCUGAUUACUGUGGAUAAACAUGCAGGAGGAGAUCGUCCUCUCUCCACUUCCAUCCGCACCAACUGAGACUUGACAGAUACACUGUCUCCAGGAAAUUCUGGCUCAUCUCAUCCCUUCAAUCUCUCCCCGCGUCCAAGAAUUCAAGCUGAUAAAUAAUCAAAAAAGAAGCCGACCAAAACUCUGAAAUGUUGUUCUGUGAUUGUUGAAAAAGAAAAAAACACAGAGAGAGAGAGAGAAAACUGUGAAACACCGAUGGAUGAGGAUCCGUUCAGCCCGAGGGGCGACAGAGCUGCUGUUAGCAAACUGAGAUGCUUUCAACUGUUUCCUUUUUGUCUUUGUUUCUUUCAUGUGUCCAGAUUCCUGCAAGCUUUCCUUCUGUAAACAGCAACUGAGGCUUAUUUGGGAAGUGGCAAGCACCUAGUCAGGGCUGAAUAAUUAAUG